ACCCCCCUGCAAUGUUUGACAGCGGCCCGUUUUAAACCCACAUUAUGUAUAAGGGAUUCCGAAUAUCUCCCUUGCCAAGCGCAGGCCUCCCGCGAAUCAAAAGCGGAAGUUGGAAGCACAGCGGUCUGGGAUAGGAAGCCCACCUGCUCGAGUCGUGCAGGUUAUUAUAAUGGGCUGCAUCGGCAAAGCGGGGGCUCU
rnacentral:other from 1 species